rnacentral:rRNA from 1 species
UCUCGUUGAUCCUGCCAGUAGUCAUAUGCUUGUCUCAAAUAUUAAGCCAUGCAUGUGUAAGUAUGAACUAGUUCAAACUGUGAAACUGCGAAUGGAUCAUUAAAUCAGUUAUAGUUUAUUUGAUGGUAUCUGCUACUCGGUCAACAGUAGUAAUUCUAGAGCUAAUACGUGCAACAAACACCGACUUUUGGAAGAGAUGCAUUUACUAGAUUAAAGGUCAACGCGGGCUCUGCCCGUUGCUCUGAUGAUUCAUGAUAACUCGACGGAUCGCACGGCCAUCAUUCAAUUUUCUACCCUAUCAACUUUCGAUGUUAGGAUAGUGGCCUACUAUGGUGGUGACGGGUGACAGAGAAUUAGGUUUCGAUUCUGAAGAGGGAGCCUGAGAAAUAGCUACCACAUCCAAGGAACGCAAAUUACCUAAUCCUGACACGGGGAGAUAGUGAAAAAAAUAACAAUACCGGGCUCUUAGAGUCUGGUAAUUGGAAUGAGUAUAAUCUAAAUCCCUUAAUGAGGAUCCAUUGGAGGGCAAGUCUAGUGCCAGCAGCCACAGUAAUUCCAGCUCCAAUAGCAUAUAUUUAAGUUGUUGCAGUUAAAAAGCUCGUAGUUGGACCUUAGGUUGGGUCAAUCGGUCUGCCUAUGGUGUGAACCGGUUGGCUCAUCCCUUCGAUUGGCGAUGCGCUCCUGGCCUUAACUGGUCAGGUCGUUCCUCCAGUACUGUUACUUUGAAAAAAUUAUAGUGCCCAAAGUAAGCCUACGCUCUGUAUACAUUAGAAUGAGAUAACAUAAUAGGAUUUUGAUCCUAUUUUUAUGGCCUUUGGGAUCGGAGUAAUGAUUAAUGGGGACAGUCGGGGGAAUCAUAUUUCAUAGUCAUAAGUGAAAUUCUUGAAUUUAUGAAAGAUGAACAACUACGAAAGCAUUUUCCAAUGAUGUUUUCAUUAAUCAAGAACAAAAGUUAAGGGCUCGAAAAUGAUCAGAUACCAUCCUAGUCUCAACCACAAACAAUGCUGAUCAGGGAUCGGUGAAUGUUACUUUUAGGACAGUGCCGACACCAGAUGAGAAAUCAAAGUCUUUGGGUUCCGGGAAGAGUAUGGUCGCAAGGCUGAAACUUAUAGGAAUUGAUAGAAGGGCACCACCAGGAGUGGAGCCUGCGACUUAAUUUGACUCAACACGAGAAAACUUACCAGGUCUAGACAUAGUAAGGAUUGACAGACUGAGAGCUCUUUCUUGAUUCUACAAGUGGUGGUGCAUGACCGUUUUUAGUUGGUUGAGCGAUUUGUCUGGUUAAUUCCGUUAACGAAUGAGAUCUUAGCCUACUAACUAACUAUGCGGAGGUGACCCUCCGCGGCCAACUUCUUAGAGGGAUUAUGGCCGUUUAGGCAAAGGAAGUUUGAGGCAAUAAUAGGUCUGCGAUGCCCUUAGAUGUUCUGGGCCGCACGCGCGUUACACUGAUGUAUUCAACGAGUAUAUAACCUUGGUCGAUAGGCCUGGGAAAUCUUUAAAAUUUCAUUCUUGAUGGGGAUAGAUCAUUGCAAUUAUUGGUCUUCAACGAGAAAUUUCUAGUAAGCGCGAGUCAUCAGCUCGCAUUGACUACGUCUUUGCCUUUUGUACACAAUGCCCGUCGCUCAUACAGAUUGAAGGGUCUAGUGAAGUGUUCGGAUCGCGGUGACGUGGGUUGUUUGCUACCUACGACGUCACGAGAAGUUCAGUGAACCUUAUCAUUUAGAGGAAGGAGAAGUCAUAACAAAGUUUUUAUAGGUGAACCUACAGAAG